GCCCUCGUAGCUCAGCGGAUAGAGCACUUGGUUGCGGACCAAGGGGCCGCGUGUUCGAGUCACGCCGAGGGCG
rnacentral:tRNA from 1 species